rnacentral:rRNA from 1 species
AUUGAACGCUGGCGGCAUGCUUUACACAUGCAAGUCGAACGGUAACAGGGACUUCGGUCUGCUGACGAGUGGCGAACGGGUGAGUAACAUAUCGGAACGUGCCCAGUAAUGGGGGAUAGCUCGGCGAAAGCCGGAUUAAUACCGCAUACGCCCUGAGGGGGAAAGUGGGGGAUCUUCGGACCUCACGUUAUUGGAGCGGCCGAUAUCAGAUUAGCUAGUUGGUGGGGUAAAGGCCUACCAAGGCGACGAUCUGUAGCUGGUCUGAGAGGAUGAUCAGCCACACUGGGACUGAGACACGGCCCAGACUCCUACGGGAGGCAGCAGUGGGGAAUUUUGGACAAUGGGCGAAAGCCUGAUCCAGCCAUGCCGCGUGAGUGAAGAAGGCCUCGGUUGUAAGACUCUUCUAGUGGAAGAAAGACGGA